AGCCUGAACGCUGGCGGCGUGGCUAAGACAUGCAAGUCGUACGGGGUCCGCAAGGAUCCAGUGGCGAACGGGUGAGUAAAGUAUCGCUAACGUACCCCUAUGUCCGGGAUAGCUGGGGGAAACUCCAGGUAAUACCGGGUGACAUCACUUUCUCGCAUGAGAAGGUGCUCAAAGGGAAACCGCAAAAGGGGAGCGGGGCGAGUAUACGGUAUCAGCUAGUUGGUGAGGUAACGGCUCACCAAGGCUAUGACGCGUAGCCGGACUGAGAGGUCGGACGGCCACAUUGGGACUGAGACACUGCCCAGACUCCUACGGGGGGCUGCAGUAACGAAUCUUCCGCAAUGCACGCAAGUGUGACGGAGCGACGCCGCGUGUGGGACGAAGUCCUUCGGGAUGUAAACCACUGUCAGGGGUUACCAAGUUCUGAGGAACCCCAGAGGAAGGCACGGCUAACUCUGUGCCAGCAGCCGC
rnacentral:rRNA from 1 species